rnacentral:pre_miRNA from 1 species
AAAGUACUCCCUCCGUCCCAAAAUUCUUGUCUUAGAUUUGCCUAGAUACGGAUGUAUCUAAUACUAAAAUGUGACUUGAUACAUCCGUAUUUAGACAAAUCUAAGACAAGAAUUUUGGGACGGAGAGAGUACAAA